rnacentral:rRNA from 1 species
AACGCGAAGAACCUUACCUGGGCUCGAAGCACAGUGGACCGGGGUAGAAAUAUCCCUUUUCGCAAGAACUGCUGUGGAGGUGCUGCAUGGCUGUCGUCAGCUCGUGUCGUGAGAUGUUGGGUUAAGUCCCGCAACGAGCGCAACCCCCAUCUUCAGUUGCCAGCGGUUUGGCCGGGCACUCUGAAGAAACUGCCGGUGACAAGCCGGAGGAAGGCGGGGAUGACGUCAAGUCCUCAUGGCCCUUAUGGGCUGGGCUACACACGUGCUACAAUGGCGGUGACAGAGGGCGGCGCGGCAGCGAUGCCUAGCCAAUCUCGAAAAGCCGUCUCAGUUCGGAUUGCUCUCUGCAACUCGGGAGCAUGAAGUCGGAAUCGCUAGUAAUGGCAGAUCAGCACGCUGCCGUGAAUACGUUCCCGGGCCUUGUACACACCGCGAGC